rnacentral:rRNA from 1 species
GACGAACGCUGGCGGCAUGCCUAAUACAUGCAAGUCGAGCGAACAGAUGAAGUGCUUGCACUUCUGACGUUAGCGGCGAACGGGUGAGUAACACGUAAGGAAUCUACCUAUAAGCGGGGGAUAACAUUCGGAAACGGGUGCUAAUACCGCAUAAUAUCUUCUUCCGCAUGGAAGAAGAUUGAAAGACGGCUCUGCUGUCACUUAUAGAUGACCUUGCGGUGCAUUAGUUAGUUGGUGGGGUAACGGCCUACCAAGACGAUGAUGCAUAGCCGACCUGAGAGGGUGAUCGGCCACAUUGGGACUGAGACACGGCCCAAACUCCUACGGGAGGCAGCAGUAGGGAAUCUUCUGCAAUGGGCGAAAGCCUGACGGAGCAAUGCCGCGUGAGUGAAGAAGGCCUUCGGGUCGUAAAACUCUGUUAUAAGAGAAGAACAAAUUGUAGAGUAACUGCUACAGUCUUGACGGUAUCUUAUCAGAAAGCCACGGCUAACUACGUGCCAGCCGCCGCUGUAA